UCGUGAGUGAGUAUGGUUAUUUUCAUGGCAAUAUCGUCAUUUGCGUAAGUUCAAUAAGAAUCUGUUCUCCUUAAAACAAGACACGUUUGGAAACACUGGUUAUAUUACCAAGGCUUUGACUGGAAUGUCAUAUUUGAGAGAGCCAUACAGAUUCAGAUAUGGCAAGACAGCUUUUGAAGAAUAAAGCUUGACCUUCUGGACUAAAGCCACUUGGAAAUAUUGGCCUGGUACCUUGUUUCCUAGCAACCUUACAGGUAAGUAAGAAAGGUCACUUAUCUGGCAGGCACCUGGAACCUUCAAAUAUUUUGGGGAACCUCAAGAGAAGAGAAGAGUCCACCUAAAUCGGUAGGUACUGCAGGAAAAAAUCUGAUGGCAAGUCCUUGGCUUGGCUUUUCUGGCCUUGAUAGGCCUUUAAAGUUCAAUCUGAGAUUCCUUAUAAAAAGUUCCAGCAAAGCAGAUUUAAAAGAGCCUAUGUAGUCUUACAUAGGCUGCACUUACGUAAAUAAUUGGACCAAGUUUUAUCGAAACUAGACUUAUUUUGCCAACCAGUUAAUCUCACUUUGGCUAUCUUUUAUAAAAAAUGAGGAUGAUUUUAGAGAGAAAGAUUAUGUUUCAGUAGAAGCUGUAGUACAAAUUCAUGGAUAUUAGAUUCUAGUUCUGUUAAUUGUCUUUGAAGUUUUUGUUGUAUCUGUAAACUGGACUGGAUUGUGACUUCUUCUAGUCUCCUCAAAUAUCUGGCUGCAAAUCUGCAAACUAACAUUUUCAAUUUUUUCCAUUAUUUUCAUUCGAAAUCAUUGAGAACCUGCCCUUUUCCUGAAGCCUGGAGGACUUGAUGUAAACGUAAGAGAAGGUUCAUGUCUGCUGCUGUGGAAGCCACUCAGAAAGAAAUACAUCUUAUUAAAUACCUGGUCACUUGCUCACGCAACAUGGGCCUAACUUUGGGAGCCCACCUGCUGCACCUACACCAAUACUUCUUUCCAGGUAGAAACCAGCGUUAGUGAAAUAAGGGAACAAGCAAGCAACCUGGAUACAGACAACUAGAAAGCAUCAAUCCCCUUUCCUAUCAGACUUAGGUGACUGGUUUACUAACCUUUUCUCUUCGAUGCCAGCUGGGACCAAAUCCAUCCAUGUGGGUAUAAUAAAAGGUGGCCUCACUUUAGUAUUAAUAGGUCUACUGUUAUGCUUAGUCAUUAAAUUGUGAAUAAAAUGUAUAUCUACCUCAACCACCAAGGCUUCCAGGUUGACAGCAUGACAACUCCCUCUUAGAAACCUCUUGGCCCAUUUUAAGAAGAGGGUAACUCACGUUGCCCUGAUUGAGCAGGAAGUAGCCAGAAUGAACACGAUGGCCCUAUUCCCUACACCAGCGUGUGAUUAUGCUGGGUGUAUAACGGACGGGGGAAUUGAUACUGCUCAACACAAGGUUGACAUAAGGGAAGCCAUAUUGUAGAAAAGAAACCAUAUUGUAACUUUGAAUGACCUCUGACUGACUAGCCCAGACAGGCUCUGUAGAUUUUGAGGUCCCUCCCAGCUGCUUUAAGAUGAUAGCUUGGUUCUUUCGAGUUCCUUAGGAAUGUGAUGACCCCGGGCAGAGAGUCUGUGCUGAUGGCCAUCGUCAACGACAACUGAAAGAUCAGGGUACAGGGUGUUGUUCCAUUCUCUGGUGCAUAUGCAGUAAAACAAAGGACUAACGGGAACUGUGACCAGAUGUCUCCCCACCCAGAGACCAGCCCCGUGUACCACUGGCCUGUAGUCUUUGUUCUGGGAGAUGGUUCUUUUGGACACGAGGCGACCAUCUUCCCUCUUGCUAGCAAGCUGUAAUAAAGGCCUUUCUCCCCUACCCCCUUGCCUCCUAUUGGCAUGUCUUGCGGCAGGCAGACGAGCCCACUUGGGCGGUAACAGCAGGGUCCCUGCUGGCCCUUUGUAGCCACUGCACGGUCACCCACCCCAAGCCCCUGGCCACCACCAAUCUGCCCUCCAUUCCGAAAUUCUGUCAAUCCCAAAAUGUGACGUAAAUGGUUUCGGAUAGUGACCUCGAGGUGCUGACCUUUUCCACUCAGCCUGAGUCCCUGGAGUUCUGCCUGGUGGUGCCUCUGUCAAGAGUUGACUUGUCCUCAGUGCUCGGUGCAGUCGGUGGUGUGGGUCACAGUCUGUGAAGGCGGCCACCUGGGCGAGGACACUUGGGUUGUCUCCAGUUGGGGGUAUUAGAAAUUAGGCUGCUCCAGGUUUCGUGUGGACGCAGUGUCAUUUCUCUGGGCUUGGUGGCCGGGCGAGCCGUGGCUGGGCCACGUGGCGGUUGCCUGUUUAAUUUAUAGGAACUGCAGACUUCCAGAGCGGCUGCGCCAUUUUACACCCCACCAUCAAAGUCCGAGAGGCCCAGUUUCUCUGUCUCCUCACUGGCUGUUUUCAGCUCGGCCAUUCUGACGGCUGCAGCGGCCUCUCCCUGUGGCUGACGUGUUGACCUAUUCCCCCGGCUCAUUCGCUGCCUCUCAUGACGUUUGUCCGUUUUCUAAUUGCAUUGUUUUGUUUCACUGUGGAGUGUACACCUCACCCUCAGUCCUCUGUCGGAUGUGGUGGAUUCUCGCUGUUGGAGGUGGUUCUGUCUGAAAUCACACAGACACUGACUUGGCGAGUCCCGUGCCACUGCCCCCGGGCAAGAACGAGCGAGGGUCCCACCAGCCUCUGGGCACGACAUUUUUGUCAACCGACCAAUAGGUGACUGGAGGGCUCGUGCCUGGAGGAAGCUCGUCUCACACACGUGUUUUCUCCCUGCACACGUCCCAGCCUUCUCGAGCUCGGGAACACUAGACAGCACUCCAGCUGGGCGCCUGCCGGCCAUUUUAAAGAGUGAAAUUACCAACAAGCAGCACAAGAACGCAAACAACAGAGCACCAAAUAGACCGUGAAAAGGCCACUUGUUUACAGUCCGAGCGCUGGGACAAGAGGGCAGGGUGAGGCCUCGUUCCACCUCGGCUGGGAGCCUGGGCAGUGGGAGAGUCGAGCUUUGAAGCUCUGAGCGUGUCCGCCAAGGCUGCGAGAGCACCUCGAGUACUGGUUUCGCGGUUACAGGUAAACCUAUGGGUAGGUGAGUUCACGAGUACAGAAUCUGCAAGUAACGAGGACCAACUGGCUUGCACAUGUUUUCUUCCACUGUAGCUUGUCUUUUUAUCCUCAUCUCAUGGGCUUUUGCUGAGCAAAAGCUUUUAAUAUUCAUGAGAUCAAGUUACCAGUGUUUCCUUUUACGAAUCAUGCUUUAGGGCUCGCUCAAGUCCAAGCGCUCUUUGCCUAGCCCUGGAUUCUGAAGAUUUUCUCCUAUGUUUUUCCUGAAAGUUUUAUAAUUUUAUGUUGUAUAUUUAAGUCCGUUAUUUGAGUUAAUUUUCACAAAGUGUGAGAUUUAGCUCGAGGUUCAUUUUCUGCGGACAUCCCAUUGUUCCAACACCACUUGUUAAAGGUUCUCCUUCCUCCGUUGAAUUGCCUUUGCUCCCAUCAAAGAUCAGUUGGGCAGAUUCGUGUGGGUCUGUUCCUGGGUCUCUGUUCUGUCCUGUUCAUCCGUGUGUCUGUCCCUCUGCGACACCCACUGCCCUGACUUCUGGGGCUGUAUAGCAAGGCUUAACGUCGGGUAGAGUGAUUCUUCCCACUUUAUUCUUCUUCUUCAAGACCAUUUUAGCUACUCUGGGGCCUGUGCCCUUCCACGUGAGUUUUAGAACAAGCUUGUCUGUGCCUACAAGAGGCCUUGCUGUUUUUUUAUGUUUCGUUUUUUUUUUCUUUUAUUGAGAGCAUGACAGUUUGUUGUGCACAGGAAGGCUAUGACUUCCUGUAUUUACGCUAACAAACUUUCUUUAAGUCUGUUUGACUUUUGAGGACAUGAACAUCAGUUUAUUUAAUUAAUUUUACAAAUAUAUUAAGAACCUCCUUGUGUUGGAUGCUAGAAAUCUAGUAGUGAAAAAAGUGGACAUACUUUAGCAGUUCUCAGCAUGCAUACUGUGUAUUUUAAAUAAAUCGCGUAUUGAUAGAACUGUA